AGUCAACAUACCCAGGGGACGUGGAUAACCUCGGGAAACUGAGGAUAAACCGCGAUAGGUCACUACUUCUGGAAUGGGUAAUGACCCAAACCUAUAUGGCCCCUGGAUUGGACUGCGGCCGAUCAGGCUGUUGGUGAGGUAAUGGCCCACCAAACCUGUAACCGGUACGGGCUCUGAGAGGAGGAGCCCGGAGAUGGGCACUGAGACAAGGGCCCAGGCCCUAUGGGGCGCAGCAGGCGCGAAACCUCUGCAAUAGGCGAAAGCUUGACAGGGUUACUCUGAGUGAUUUCCGUUAAGGAGAUCUUUUGGCACCUCUAAAAAUGGUGCAGAAUAAGGGGUGGGCAAGUCUGGUGUCAGCCGCCGCGGUAAUACCAGCACCCCGAGUGGUCGGGACGUUUAUUGGGCCUAAAGCAUCCGUAGCCGGUUCUACAAGUCUUCCGUUAAAUCCACCUGCUCAACAGAUGGGCUGCGGAAGAUACUAUGGAGCUAGGAGGCGGGAGAGGCAAGCGGUACUCGAUGGGUAGGGGUAAAAUCCGUUGAUCCAUUGAAAACCACCAGUGGCG
rnacentral:rRNA from 1 species